CCAGAAGGUGAAACUGUCCUUGCUCACUCUCUCUUUCACUUAAAAUGUAACUCCACCUGGAAACAAAGAAUUUGCCCAGAAGAGCAUCGCCUGCAACACAGAUUUUUUUUCCCACAAAUUUCAGUUUUCCUCUUUCUUUUCUUUCUUUCUUUUUUAAAAGCAGGAAUGAAUUCAAUCCUAGAGUCUCAUGAGAAGAGAUCACUCAGCCUGUUAGAAGGACCAUCCUGUCUGGAAUCACAGGAAUUAAGAGAAACCACAACUUUGCUCAACGCUCAGUGCAACAUAAAACAUGUUAGCACUUGGGAAAAGGCAGAAUUUGAAGAAGGCAAAAGGAGUUUACUCUGGCAGAAGUUUCCAUAUGACCUUGGUCCUGCGGGAUCUCACUGAAAGCUAAUGCUGCAAACUUGUCAUACUUUGACUUCAAAAAGUCAAUGUCAGACUGGGCUCGGUGCCUCAUGCGUGUUGUCCCAGCACUUUGGGAGGCUGAGGCAGGCGGAUCGCGUGAGGUCAGGAGUUCAAGACCAG
rnacentral:lncRNA from 10 species